AACUGAAGAGUUUGAUCCUGGCUCAGAUUGAACGCUGGCGGCAUGCCUAACACAUGCAAGUCGAACGGAAACGAUGGAAGCUUGCUUCCAGGCGUCGAGUGGCGGACGGGUGAGUAAUGCUUAGGAAUCUGCCCAAUAGUGGGGGACAACUCGGGGAAACUCGAGCUAAUACCGCAUACGCCCUACGGGGGAAAGCGGGGGAUCUUCGGACCUCGCGCUAAUGGAUGAGCCCAAGUCGGAUUAGCUUGUUGGUGAGGUAAUAGCUCACCAAGGCGACGAUCCGUAGCUGGUCUGAGAGGACGAUCAGCCACACUGGGACUGAGACACGGCCCAGACUCCUACGGGAGGCAGCAGUGGGGAAUAUUGGACAAUGGGCGCAAGCCUGAUCCAGCAAUGCCGCGUGCGUGAAGAAGGCCUGCGGGUUGUAAAGCACUUUCAGUAGGGAAGAUUGUGACGGUACCUACAGAAGAAGCACCGGCUAACUCCGUGCCAGCAGCCGCGGUAAUACGGAGGGUGCGAGCGUUAAUCGGAAUUACUGGGCGUAAAGGGCGCGUAGGCGGUUUGGUUAGUCAGAUGUGAAAGCCCCGGGCUUAACCUGGGAAUUGCAUUCGAAACUACAUGACUAGAGUAUGGGAGAGGGAAGUGGAAUUUCCGGUGUAGCGGUGAAAUGCGUAGAUAUCGGAAGGAACACCAGUGGCGAAGGCGACUUCCUGGGCCAAUACUGACGCUGAGUUGCGUAAGCGUGGGGAGCAAACAGG
rnacentral:rRNA from 1 species